CUGGGUCCGCCCGAGGAUGGGGCACGGCCCAUCAUGUAGUUGGCGGGGUAAUGGCCCGCCAAGCCGACGACGGGUAGGGCCGUGGGAGCGGAGCCCCAGAUGGGCCUGAGACAAGGGCCCAGGCCCUACGGGCGCACCAGGCGCGAAACCUCCGCAAUGCGGGAAACCGUGACGGGGUCACCCCGAGUGCCCCGUAAGGGGGCUUUUCCCCGCUGCAAGGAGGCGGGGAAUAAGCGGGGGGCAAGUCUGGUGUCAGCCGCCGCGGUAAUACCAGCCCCGCGAGUGGUCGGGACUCUUGCUGGGCCUAAAGCGCCCGUAGCCGGCCCGGUAAGUCCCUCCUUAAAGCCCCGGGCUCAACCCGGGGAGCGGGGGGAUACUGCCGGGCUAGGGGGCGGGAGAGGCCGGGGGUACCCCAGGGGUAGGGGCGAAAUCCGAUAAUCCCUGGGGGACCACCAGUGGCGAAGGCGCCCGGCUGGAACGCGCCCGACGGUGAGGGGCGAAAGCCGGGGGAGCGAACCGGAUUAGAUACCCGGGUAGUCCCGGCUGUAAACUAUGCGGGCCAGGUGUCGGGCGGGCGUUAGAGCCCGCCCGGUGCCGCAGGGAAGCCGUUAAGCCCGCCGCCUGGGGAGUACGGCCGCAAGGCUGAAACUUAAAGGAAUUGGCGGGGGGGCACACAAGGGGUGGAGCCUGCGGCUCAAUUGGAGUCAACGCCGGGAACCUCUACCGGGGGCGACAGCAGGAUGACGGCCAGGCUAACGACCUUGCCCGACGCGCUGAGGGGAGGUGCAUGGCCGUCGCCAGCUCGUGCUGUGAAGUGUCCUGUUAAGUCAGGCAACGAGCGAGACCCCCGCCCCUAGUUGCGACCCUGCGGGCGACCGCGGGGGCACACUAGGGGGACUGCCGCCGCUAAGGCGGAGGAAGGAGGGGGCCACGGCAGGUCAGCAUGCCCCUAAACCCCCGGGCUGCACGCGGGCUACAAUGGCGGGGACAGCGGGAUCCGACCCCGAAAGGGGGAGGCAAUCCCUGAAACCCCGCCGUAGUUGGGAUCGGGGGCUGAAACUCGCCCCCGUGAACCUGGAAUCCCUAGUAACCGCGCGUCAUCAUCGCGCGGUGAAUACGUCCCUGCCCCUU
rnacentral:rRNA from 1 species